rnacentral:rRNA from 1 species
GAAGCCGCAAGGCAGAUCUAAAUUCAGUGGCGGACGGCUGAGUAAUAAGUAAGAAUUUUCCCCAAAGACUCACAUAGCUCACCGAAAGGUGGGGUAAUUUGAGAUAGUCCCCUCCGCAAGGAGGGGUAAAGACGCAAGUCGCUUUGGGAUAAGCUUGCUUCCUAUCAGGUAGUUGGUGGGGUAAUAGCCUACCAAGCCUACGACGGGUAGUUGGUCUCAUGAGGAUGAUCAACCAGAGGGGGACUGAGACACGGCCCCCACUCCUACGGGAGGCAGCAAUCAGGAAUAGUCGGCAAUGGACGAAAGUCUGACCGCGCGACGCCGCGUGUGGGAUGAAGCUUCACAAGAGUGUAAACCACUGUGGUAGGGGAAGAGAAAGGACGGUACCCUACUAGAAAGUAGCCGCUAACUGCGUGCCAGAAGCGUCGGUAAUACGUGGGCUACAAGCAUUACCCGGUGUCAUUGGGCGUAAAGGGUCGUGUAGGCGGAUUGAUAAGUCA